GAGAGAGAGAGAGAGAGAGAGAGCAUCCAAAUAACAGUGAGGGACACAUGCAGCUUCCGGUUACACUGUUCUCUUGGCCGCAAUGGACGUGCUGCCUCGCGAUUUCAAGUGAGAUGUCUGGAGUGAAUGGUUUCCCCAGGUACCCAUUUAUCGACUAGCCUAAAAAAGGAAGAUGGACAGCUGGGGGCGCUGCAUGCUGACUCCCCAAGAUGGGAUUUGAACCCAAGUAUACCAAUUCAUAGCUAGGCAUGCUAACCACUUCACAACAGAGAUGUUUCUGGAGAUGGCGCUAGUGACAGUUGCUGAAUUCCCAACACUGAUCAAAACAGUUGAUAUGUCUAGUAAAGUGUGCAAUGCAAGACAAAGCUGCGGCUGUUCUGUCCUGUGUGUUCCUGCAGGCAGCGGGGCUGGGCCAGGGCGGCAGCACGGACAAGGACACGGACACAGGCACUGGGUGUCAGCUGGCACCUUCCUGCCCUGCACACAGCCAACAGUAAGGUGAUGGGCGGCACACUACACCGGUUUCUUUGGUGGUGGAAACGAAUAGGACAAAUUGAAUUUUAGAGCUUUAAACAUGCAGUUUCAUUCAACAAAACUUUCUUUCAAUCCAUCCACAGCUACAGUGACACAACGAAACGCCCACCUCCCGCUCCCCAGCUGGCCAGGCGUCGUCUGCUGCGGCGGCUCGGAGGUAUGCGUCAGCCCCUGCCACGGACCUACAAUACUUGAUGGGAAGAACGGCAUUUCCAAUUUACCUUCAACGAAUUGCUCAUAUGCAUCUUAGUAGCUAUGUCUACUUCAUUUAAUGACAUGGAGAAUGUAAGGUAUCGCCUCCAUAUAGGAAAUACAACUUUCCCGCAGAGACGCAAAAGGGGGGAGGGCUUGGAUUGAUCUACCCUCAAAAUCCUUUCAGUACCCUCUUAACUCAUCCAUUAAUUGAGAAACAAAUUAUCAUUCUCUUCUUUUACACACUCAUCUCCCCAAUGCUUCAAGGAAGACUCCGGCCGCCCUAGGCCUUCUCAAUGAAUAAAUAAAUAAAUAAAAUUAUGAAACAGCG